CAGCGUCGCGUCGUUCCACGCACCCCCCCCCCCCCCCCCCCCCCGGACGUGACGCCACCACCACCGUCGCCGCUCCUGCUGCCGCGCUGCGGGGACGUCACUUCCGCAAACAGGAUGGCGGAGCGGCGGCCUGGAUUUCCAUUCUGAUCAAUGGACAAGGAGACUAACCUGUCAAAAAUGGCUGAUUUAACCAAGACAGAAGAACAGGAAGUAGAGAAGAGUUUGGAUGAAGAAGUGGAGAAAACACCUUGUACUUUAGAGGCAGAGUCAGGUAUUGGUUGGCAAGGCGAUAGUUCAACUUCAGGCACAGUACACUCCACUGAAAGUGAAAAAGAAGUUGAUAGUGGUAAUCAGGACGGCAGAGCAAAAAGGAAGAAUUUAGAUCCUGAAGAUGAACCUCCUAAGAAAGUACAUGAGAUAGGCCAUGGGCAAGCUGUAGCUGCACAUUAUAAUGAACUUCAAGAAGUUGGAUUGGAAAAACGUAGCCAGUCUCGCAUAUUCUACCUCCGAAACUUUAAUAAUUGGACAAAGAGCGUCCUCAUUGGUGAAUUCAUAGACCGAGUACGACGGAAAAAGAAUGAUAUAACUGUUUUGGAUCUAGGAUGUGGCAAAGGUGGAGACUUACUGAAAUGGAAAAAAGGCAGAAUUAAAAAACUUGUCUGUACUGAUAUUGCUGACAUUUCUGUGCAACAGUGCAAGCAGCGAUAUGAAGACAUGAAAGCCCGAUGUCGUUAUAACGAACGUAUUUUUGAUGCAGAAUUUAUACAAGCAGAUAGUACCAAGGAUCUCUUGUCUUCCAAAUACAGUGAUCCAGAUAUGCGCUUUGACAUUUGCAGCUGCCAAUUUGUUUACCAUUACUCAUUUGAGACAUAUGAGCAGGCUGACAUGAUGCUUAAAAAUGCUUGUGGGAACCUCUCUCCUGGAGGGUAUUUCAUUGGCACAACUCCAAAUAGCUUUGAACUUGUAAAGCGACUUGAAGCUUCAGAAACAAAUUCAUUUGGGAAUGAGGUGUACAGUGUAAAAUUUGGAAAGAAAGGAGAAUAUCCCUUGUUUGGCUGCAAGUAUGAUUUCCACUUGGAAGAAGUGGUUGAUGUCCCCGAGUUCUUGGUUUACUUUCCAUUACUGGAAGAAAUGGCAAAGCAGCAUGGUAUGAAAUUAGUCUACAAAAUGACAUUUCGGGAGUUCUAUGAAGAAAAAGUCAAGAACGAGGAGCAUAAAAUGCUGCUACGGAGAAUGCAGGCCUUGGAGCCAUAUUCUACAUUUGGUGAUUCCAGGCUUGUUUCUGAUAAACCUGAGGAUUAUGAGCAUGUAAAAGAGUUCAUCAAAGAUGGCAAGGCAAAGUUACCAUUGGGAACCUUGAGUAAAUCUGAAUGGGAAGCAACAAUGAUAUGUGUUUCAGGAAGAAGCAAUUAAAGCAUGGACGGUGAAGAGGUAUUUGAAUGUUUUAUAAAGGGAGUAGAAAAAAGUCAGUGCCUCAGACACCAAAAAGGAUACAUUAUUGUUAAAUAUGUCUUGAAAUUUUGUGAAUGUGUGCCAUGGAAAACUUUUGACAUCGUUUUUUUCCAAUGUUGAGUUUAAUAGAACUCAGAUACAAGGGGCUGAGAAUUCUAAGGGUAAAAAUUGGUUCCUGGAGAGAUUGUUACUUAAUUCUGUGUAACUGCAGCCAACCAACAAUUGCAUUUUUGGAGACCAUUAUACUGGUUGUGUUAGUGGUUUAAAAACAACCGAAAAAUGCUGUUCAAUUCAUGAAUGAAAAAAUCUUUAGUUAAGCUGUUUGCUUUCUUAAAUUAUUAUCUAAUUUUUAAAGGUAUGAAUCAUAAAGUAGACAUUAAUUCCAGCAAGGUAUAAGUAUUAUGUAAACUAUUAAUCUAAUUGAGAGGGGCUUUUUAUACCUUUAAAAGUUCAGUGAUUGUUUUUUAAGUAGUCUCUUUUUUCAGAGAGAUUUGGAGUGCAGAGCUUCUGAUAGGGUAUAAGCACAGCUUGUUCGUUACAUGGAACUUCAGUUUCCCUUAUUGCUGAGGAACGUACCAUAGGCUUGUCUUGAAAGAUUUGCGAUGUAGCUAUGGCACCUCAUCCAUUAAAAUAAAAAUUGAGUUCAAGUGGAAAUCCAUACAUGUUUAAGUAGACUCAUGGUCUCAAGAAACUGGUUUAAUUUAUCUGUCUGGUAUGAAGCAUAAGAACACCUGACAUAGCUGGCAUUGAUUAUAUGCCAAGCAAGAGUUUCCCAGGGGUGCCAGUGUGGACUGUAUAUGAGUAUCCAUUUCUAGAAUCACACUGUUCUGGAGUUGAGAAAAUGCCAUCUAGUGUUUGUAUUUACUUGGUAUUUGCAUUUGAGAAACAACUGUGAAACUUCACGUACUGGAUGCAGCAAGAAGAGAUCGUAUCCACAUGCAAGUUGGAAUGGUCAGAAAUCCAUUGUGGCAACUAUUUUUUUAUUUUUUAUUUUUUAAUUAUCAGAAGUGUGCAGGACACUACCAAAAACUGGAGCAAGCUCAUGAUUCUGAGUUACAUUGCCUGUCUGUGACAGAUGGACUUGUGUGUGUAUAUAUAAGAAAGAUUCUGAACCAGUCUUUUUAAGCAUUUGUAAGCAAUCUGCAUGCUCUCAAAACUCAUGUUUGAACUUGACACAACUUUAUGUUAGAAACAAAUGUUUUGUUAGUAGAAGUAUGUUUGUUUGUGAUUUCAAGCCUGACCCUGCACUUUCUGAAAUUGAUGGAAAAUUGACUGUUGACUUUGAUGGUGCAGAAUGAGGGCCUAAAUAUUGUACUGCAGAGCUCAGUUAAUUCAUAAUGAGAUGCAUUCAGACAUAUAGGGUAUGUCUACAUUGCAUGCAGAGCUAAGUGGCAAAUCAUACCUGAGUCAGUUUGAAUACUUAUGUGCAGUGCUCAAGCCUGCAGUGUAAAUCUACCUUAGUGGUAUUCAAGGUGUAGUUUACAGGGUAAAGUCCCAUGAUGUUCUUGUUUUUUGUGCUUGCGGAUAUGUAGUGUCACUUCAUGGUGCUUUCAAGAUUAAACGAGUUGGUUCUGUACAAAACUGCUCUGAACGAACUGAAUUUCUAAAGUUUUAAACCUCUACAUCAUUUUUCCAGAUAGGACUAUGUGGUGAUCAAAAACAGCUGCUGAACUUAGAUUACUGAACAUUUUAUAUUGUAUUAAAGACUCUCCUGACUUUUUGGUGGUUUUAAUGUCUCCUGAAACUUACUAGACAGAUCUUAGGAUGUGUUUCUCACUUGUUUCAUAAAAUUCCAAAUGAGCUUGGCAGAAGGAUGAGCUGUUGGUGGUGAUGGGGACCUCAUUGCAGUCCUCCAGGCAUUAGGAACACGGUCACAUACUGGAUCGUGAACCAAAAGGGGAGCUUGUAUAACAUUUGAGGAUACUAGAAAUUCACUCUGGGAGGGAGGGCUGUGUAUGUGUGUAUACCCUCUGUGCAUGUGGAUAACAAUCCCCAAAUUAGAGUGAAAUAUUUUGGUUGGGAAUGUAAUCUAAUGAUACUAAUAAGCAGAACUGUGCGUAACUACCAUCUUAACUGCCCGUCAGUCUCUCAGAGCUGGCUUAGGGAUUUCUGACAUGGUGUUUGCUCCGCUUUCCACAUGCUUGUAGCCACGCACUACUGAGAGGGUGUGGGCACUUCAUGUGUUUUCUCUCCCGUCUUGGGCUAACAGUAGCUGUUUGCUGCUGCGGGCUAGUAUAGUUUACAUAGAGAUGAAAUGAUGAAGUGUUGAUGGUACAUGAGUGUUUUGAAAAGUUACAGUAAACCUAGGAAAGAUAAUUUCUGGUACAGAGUUAAGCAUUCAAAGUACUUGAGUUUGUAGUUGUUUUGCCUUCCUCCUGUAAUUAAGUCAUGCUCUUUCCUCCAUGACUCCUGAUUUUAUUUUUUUGUUAGUUUAUUAUAUAGAAGAACACCUAUAACCUUCACCAAAGCAGUAGAAUCAGUCAGUUCUGCUGCUGAAAUUAAGAAAACAAGACUCUUUGUUACAAUUAGUACUCAUGAAACUAGCUGAAAAAUGCUGACACUUUAGAAGUGCUGAAGUGUUUCACUGAAAUUCGUGUGUGUCAAAGAUAGUUUUGUUAGAUUUCUUGUAUCAAAUUUCAUUUGAAAGUACAUUAUGCUAUUUUUGGAAGAAAUCAGAAUAAUAAAAAGAGGGGAAAUACA